rnacentral:misc_RNA from 1 species
GUGAAUCAUCGAAUUUUUAGACGCAAAUUGCACUUUCUGGUAUUCCGGAGAGUAUGCCUGUUUGAGGGUCAUUUAAAUGAAAAUCGGUGUUGUUUCUUUGGUUAAUGGUUACGAGUCGUAAGUGAGUUUACUGACCUUCGGUUAAGUGACGUAAAAUUUUGUAUUAGUUUCGAAGGUAUUUAAUUUUCUUACGUACGUUUUAGAUAUCGAGUAUUUUAUGAUGUUAUGUCAUCCUCAUUGGC